UACAGAGGGUGCGAGCGUUAAUCGGAUUAACUGGGCGUAAAGGGCGCGUAGGCGGUUGUAUGAGUGUGAUGUGAAAGCCCUGGGCUUAACCUAGGAAGUGCAUCGCAAACGAUAUAACUGGAGUAUUGGAGAGGGUAGCGGAAUUUCCGGUGUAGCGGUGAAAUGCGUAGAGAUCGGAAGGAACGUCAAUGGCGAAGGCAGCUACCUGGCCAAAUACUGACGCUGAGGCGCGAAAGCUAGGGGAGCAAACAGG
rnacentral:rRNA from 1 species